GGGCCUGUAGUUCAGCUGGUAGAACACCCGAUUCGCAUUCGGGAGGUAGGCGGUUCGAGUCCGCCCAGGUCCA
rnacentral:tRNA from 1 species